UGACGCGGGAAGGGAGAGCCAGCCCUGGCAGCCCGCACCACGCCCUGCGCUCCCCGGGUCCCCGCAGCCCAGACCACGCCCCUCAGCCCGGCCCGGAAGAAGCAGUUGGGGGCGCAGGGCGGUGGAAACAAAGGGAUGAGAUCACCGGCAAGAGGCAGGAGCAAAAGUGCGAAAGGGACCGAGAGACUGACCAGUACCAAAGAGGCUCUGAUCGGUUUCACCAUCUGGCGAUUAGCAGGAAGCUGCUCUUUCAUCUGCAUCAGUGGUGCAAUCCUUCAUCAUGCACAAACCCGCUGAACAUGAGACAUGAGGCCUACAAGAGACCAUCACAUCCUGUUAUUUCACACCCAUGAAAACAGACCUAGAGCGUGAACUGAUCGGUGAUAAAGCUGCCACUACCUCUCAUCACCUCCUCUGUUUUCCCUUAAGUGCCCAGGGCCACAGAAAAUCAGAAGGCUGAGUUUGGAACAAAGUAGAUAACUGAAUUAUAUCAUUAGUGUCAAAAGGCAUGCUUUAGCUUAAGGCAUUUGGCAGGUCUCAAUUUAUUAUCCUUCCAUUCUGGGCCUGAAAGACCCAGAUUAGCAGACUAGAUUGUUCCUCUGCUACAUUUCAAUCAUAGAGACAUGGUUUGAUGCUUCUGUGUGGUUAGCUAAUGUGGGAUUAUAAAAACUGAAAGUAAGCCUGAAAAAAACAGAUUGUGCUUUUCUGUCCCAGAAGCAAAACUCCCAAGUUUUGCAUAAUGUCAUGGAAUAUUGUAAUAUGCAAUGUAAAUGCAAAUUAACUUUCAGUGUUUAUCACACUUAUUAAAUUGUAGGAUACAUAUUAGUCUUCCGCAAAGUUUCAGUAUAUGUAACAUACUGAUAGCCUCGAUCCAGAAGAAAUCCCAUCCUUUAGGCAUAUACUAGAAUACUGUAUAACAUUUUGCAUAUACUAUUUGACAUACUUUAGGAACAAAAGAAUUUAUACAGAGAGAAGAUAGUGAAAUUUAUGGUGAUGUGCUUAUUAGUGAUAACAGACCUGUUUAAUAAGCUAUGCUAAUACAAUAAGCUGGUUGGUGUUGUUUUGACUCUCAGGGGUAAUACUGAUUACCGGAUAGUUAUACGAACAUAUGAACAUACAUCCUGAGGAAAACAAGUAUCUACAACACAAUACAUUCAUUAGAAGUUAUUUUAUCUAAUUAUUUUUGUUUCCAAGGUAACACAGGCUUUAAAAAUGUGAAGCCAUUGGAUUGAAGUUUUUGGGAACUCUGAUCUCUGCCAUCCCUUUCAGUAUUGAGGUUAGAAAUAUUCUGGUGUUCACAGAUCAGAUGUAUUAUCAUCUUGAUACAAUCUGUCCUUAUUGAAGUCUUGUUUAUAUUUUAGAUGUAGUGAACUCAGAGCCAUAUGGGGAAUCAAAGGCCCCUAAUUUCAUCCUCUUGCCUGGAAAACCGUAGAAUCAAAACUUUGUUACCACUUUCUUUGGAUGUAGAAAUUUGUCCAAUAUCAUGAGAAAAUUUUAAACCCAUGUGUGGGGGGCCUUGCCCCCCCGCUAGAACUCUUGAGUGCCUUUUACGGACAUAUCCGGGCCUGCUGCAAAUCUACCCGGCAACAAGGA
rnacentral:lncRNA from 1 species